rnacentral:rRNA from 1 species
GAUUUUCGCAAUGCCCGAAAGGGUCUGACCUAUCCCUGGAGGAAGCACGGGCUAAGUUCGUGCCAGCAGCCGCGGUAAGACGAACCGUGCGAACGUUGUUCGGAAUCACUGGGCUUAAAGGGCGCGUAGGCGGGCCGCAAAGUCAGGGGUGAAAUCCUCCAGCUCAACUGGAGAACUGCCUUUGAUACUGGCGGCCUGGAGUAAGGUAGGGGCAUGCGGAACUGAUGGUGGAGCGGUGAAAUGUGUUGAUAUCAUCAGGAACUCCGGUGGCGAAAGCGGCGGACUGGACCUCUUCUGACGCUGAGGCGCGAAAGCCAGGGGAGCAAACGGGAUUAGAUACCCCGGUAGUCCUAGCCGUAAACGAUGGGCACUAAGUAGAGGGGUUUU